GUGAAGCGGCAACAGCUCAAAUUUGAAAUCUGGCUUCGGCCCGAGUUGUAAUUUGCAGAGGAUGUUUCUGGCGCGGUGCCUUCCGAGUUCCCUGGAACGGGACGCCACAGAGGGUGAGAGCCCCGUAUGGUUGGACACCAAGCCUGUGUGAAACUCCUUCAACGAGUCGAGUAGUUUGGGAAUGCUGCUCAAAAUGGGAGGUAAAUCUCUUCUAAAGCUAAAUACUGGCCAGAGACCGAUAGCGCACAAGUAGAGUGAUCGAAAGAUGAAAAGCACCUUGAAAAGGGGGUUAAACAGUACGUGAAAUUGUUGAAAGGGAAGCGCUCAUGACCAGACUUGUGCUGGGCAGCUCAUCCGGGGUUCUCCCCGGUGCACUCUGCCCAGUUCAGGCCAGCAUCGAUUUUUGCUGGGGGAUAAGAACAGUAGGAACGUGGCCCUCCUUCGGGCGGGUGUUAUAGCCUACUGUACGAUACCCUGGCGGAGAUCGAGGUUCGCGCAUCUGCAAGGAUGCUGGCGUAAUGGUCAUCAGCGACCCGUCUUGAAACACGGACCAAGGAGUCGUCCAUUAGAGCGAGCGUUUGGGUGUAAAACCCGCACGCGUAAUGAAAGUGAAAUUAGGUGAGAGCUUCGGCGCAUCAUCGACCGAUCCUGAUGUUUUCAGAUGGAUUUGAGUAAGAGUUUUAACGGACGGACCCGAAAGACAGUGAACUAUGCUUGUAUAGGGUGAAGCCAGAGGAAACUCUGGUGGAGGCUCGCAGCGGUUCUGACGUGCAAAUCGAUCGUCAAAUAUGAGCAUGGGGGCGAAAGACUAAUCGAACUGUCUAGUAGCU
rnacentral:rRNA from 1 species